rnacentral:rRNA from 1 species
GACGAACGCUGGCGGCGUGCCUAAUACAUGCAAGUCGAGCGGACUGAUUAAGAGCUUGCUCUUAUGACGUUAGCGGCGGACGGGUGAGUAACACGUGGGCAACCUGCCCUGUAGAUCGAGAUAACACCGAGAAAUCGGUGCUAAUACCGGGUAAUAUCUGAGAUCACAUGAUCUUAGGUUAAAAGAUGGCUCCGGCUAUCACUACAGGAUGGGCCCGCGGCGCAUUAGCUAGUUGGUAAGGUAAUGGCUUACCAAGGCGACGAUGCGUAGCCGACCUGAGAGGGUGAUCGGCCACACUGGGACUGAGACACGGCCCAGACUCCUACGGGAGGCAGCAGUAGGGAAUCUUCCGCAAUGGACGAAAGUCUGACGGAGCAACGCCGCGUGAGUGAUGAAGGGUUUCGGCUCGUAAAGCUCUGUUGUUAGGGAAGAAACAGUACCGAACGAACUAGGUCGGUACCUUGACGGUACCUAACCAGAAAGCCACGGCUAACUACGUG